GGGUCAAUGAUGACAGCCCAAUUACAUGAAGAGAAGAGAUGACAUAAAUAUCAAUCUCAAUGAAUUUGCGCUGAGGCCC